AACGCGAAGAACCUUACCUGGGUUUGACAUGCAACUGGCGCAUACAGAGAUGUAUGUUCUCCGCAAGGGGCAGUUGCACAGGUGCUGCAUGGCUGUCGUCAGCUCGUGCCGUGAGGUGUUGGGUUAAGUCCCGCAACGAGCGCAACCCUUGUCGUUAGUUGCCAGCAAGUAAAGUUGGGAACUCUAACGAGACUGCCUGGGUUAACCAGGAGGAAGGUGAGGAUGACGUCAAGUCCGCAUGGCCUUUAUAUCCAGGGCUACACACGUGCUACAAUGGUCGGUACAGAAGGCAGCGAAGUCGGAAGGCGGAGCAAAUCCUCAAAGCCGGCCCCAGUUCAGAUUGUAGUCUGCAACUCGACUACAUGAAGAUGGAAUUGCUAGUAAUGGCGGGUCAGCAACACCGCCGUGAAUACGUUCCCGGGCCUUGUACACACCGGUAUCUC
rnacentral:rRNA from 1 species